rnacentral:rRNA from 1 species
ACUCCUACGGGAGGCAGCAGUGGGGAAUAUUGCACAAUGGGGGAAACCCUGAUGCAGCCAUGCCGCGUGUGUGAAGAAGGCCUUCGGGUUGUAAAGCACUUUCAGUAGGGAGGAAGGUAGUGUAGUUAACACCUGCACUAUUUGACGUUACCUACAGAAGAAGCACCGGCUAACUCCGUGCCAGCAGCCGCGGUAAUACGGAGGGUGCGAGCGUUAAUCGGAAUUACUGGGCGUAAAGCGCAUGCAGGCGGCCUGUUAAGUCAGAUGUGAAAGCCCGGGGCUUAACCUCGGAAUUGCAUUUGAAACUGGCAGGCUAGAGUCUUGUAGAGGGGGGUAGAAUUUCAGGUGUAGCGGUGAAAUGCGUAGAGAUCUGAAGGAAUACCAGUGGCGAAGGCGGCCCCCUGGACAAGACUGACGCUCAGAUAGCGAAAGCGUGGGGAGCAAACAGGAUUAGA